AAGGGAACAAGAAUAAUGACAUAGGUGUUGAGUAGUUUCCCUAGGUAAAGAAAGUGAGCAGCAGUGACCUAAAACACUGAUAUGACAACAUACAACUAGCCAGACAGAAGUUUGAGGAAGCCUGUUCCAUUCUGGAAAACAAUGCCGACAGAUGGCAACACAAGCUAAAACAGCGUUAAGAUCUGGCUACAUUUACAGAACAGAGAAUUAGCUCUUUU
rnacentral:lncRNA from 1 species